rnacentral:rRNA from 1 species
UUAAAUUGAAGAGUUUGAUCAUGGCUCAGAUUGAACGCUGGCGGCAGGCCUAACACAUGCAAGUCGAACGGUAACAGGAAGCAGCUUGCUGCUUCGCUGACGAGUGGCGGACGGGUGAGUAAUGUCUGGGAAACUGCCUGAUGGAGGGGGAUAACUACUGGAAACGGUAGCUAAUACCGCAUAAUGUCGCAAGACCAAAGAGGGGGACCUUCGGGCCUCUUGCCAUCGGAUGUGCCCAGAUGGGAUUAGCUUGUUGGUGGGGUAACGGCUCACCAAGGCGACGAUCCCUAGCUGGUCUGAGAGGAUGACCAGCCACACUGGAACUGAGACACGGUCCAGACUCCUACGGGAGGCAGCAGUGGGGAAUAUUGCACAAUGGGCGCAAGCCUGAUGCAGCCAUGCCGCGUGUAUGAAGAAGGCCUUCGGGUUGUAAAGUACUUUCAGCGGGGAGGAAGGGAGUAAAGUUAAUACCUUUGCUCAUUGACGUUACCCGCAGAAGAAGCACCGGCUAACUCCGUGCCAGCAGCCGCGGUAAUACGGAGGGUGCAAGCGUUAAUCGGAAUUACUGGGCGUAAAGCGCACGCAGGCGGUUUGUUAAGUCAGAUGUGAAAUCCCCGGGCUCAACCUGGGAACUGCAUCUGAUACUGGCAAGCUUGAGUCUCGUAGAGGGGGGUAGAAUUCCAGGUGUAGCGGUGAAAUGCGUAGAGAUCUGGAGGAAUACCGGUGGCGAAGGCGGCCCCCUGGACGAAGACUGACGCUCAGGUGCGAAAGCGUGGGGAGCAAACAGGAUUAGAUACCCUGGUAGUCCACGCCGUAAACGAUGUCGACUUGGAGGUUGUGCCCUUGAGGCGUGGCUUCCGGAGCUAACGCGUUAAGUCGACCGCCUGGGGAGUACGGCCGCAAGGUUAAAACUCAAAUGAAUUGACGGGGGCCCGCACAAGCGGUGGAGCAUGUGGUUUAAUUCGAUGCAACGCGAAGAACCUUACCUGGUCUUGACAUCCACGGAAGUUUUCAGAGAUGAGAAUGUGCCUUCGGGAACCGUGAGACAGGUGCUGCAUGGCUGUCGUCAGCUCGUGUUGUGAAAUGUUGGGUUAAGUCCCGCAACGAGCGCAACCCUUAUCCUUUGUUGCCAGCGGUCCGGCCGGGAACUCAAAGGAGACUGCCAGUGAUAAACUGGAGGAAGGUGGGGAUGACGUCAAGUCAUCAUGGCCCUUACGACCAGGGCUACACACGUGCUACAAUGGCGCAUACAAAGAGAAGCGACCUCGCGAGAGCAAGCGGACCUCAUAAAGUGCGUCGUAGUCCGGAUUGGAGUCUGCAACUCGACUCCAUGAAGUCGGAAUCGCUAGUAAUCGUGGAUCAGAAUGCCACGGUGAAUACGUUCCCGGGCCUUGUACACACCGCCCGUCACACCAUGGGAGUGGGUUGCAAAAGAAGUAGGUAGCUUAACCUUCGGGAGGGCGCUUACCACUUUGUGAUUCAUGACUGGGGUGAAGUCGUAACAAGGUAACCGUAGGGGAACCUGCGGUUGGAUCACCUCCUUACCUUAAAGAA